rnacentral:rRNA from 1 species
GAAAUCCCGUCGGAAUCUGGGAGGACCAUCUCCCAACCCUAAAUACUCCCUAGUGACCGAUAGUGAACCAGUACCGUGAGGGAAAGGUGAAAAGCACCCCGGGAGGGGAGUGAAAUAGAACCUGAAACCGUGUGCCUACAACAAGUUCGAGCCCGUUAAUGGGUGAGAGCGUGCCUUUUGUAGAAUGAACCGGCGAGUUACGUUAUGAUGCGAGGUUAAGUUGAAGAGACGGAGCCGUAGGGAAACCGAGUCUGAAUAGGGCGCCUUAGUAUCAUGACGUAGACCCGAAACCAUGUGACCUACCCAUGAGCAGGUUGAAGGUGCGGUAAGACGCACUGGAGGACCGAACCAGGGCACGUUGAAAAGUGCUUGGAUGACUUGUGGGUAGCGGAGAAAUUCCAAACGAACUUGGAGAUAGCUGGUUCUCUCCGAAAUAGCUUUAGGGCUAGCGUCGACAUUAGAGAUUCUUGGAGGUAGAGCACUGUUUGGGUGAGGGGUCCAUCCCGGAUUACCAAUCUCAGAUAAACUCCGAAUGCCAAUGAAUUAUGGUCGGCAGUCAGACUGCGAGUGCUAAGAUCCGUAGUCGAAAGGGAAACAGCCCAGACCACCAGCUAAGGUCCCAAAAUAAUUGUUAAGUGGAAAAGGAUGUGGGGUUGCACAGACAACUAGGAUGUUAGCUUAGAAGCAGCUAUUCAUUCAAAGAGUGCGUAAUAGCUCACUAGUCGAGUGACCCUGCGCCGAAAAUGUACCGGGGCUAAAACAAUUUACCGAAGCUGUGGAUACCUUUAUAGGUAUGGUAGGAGAGCGUUCUAUGUGUGAUGAAGGUAUACCGUGAGGAGUGCUGGAACGCAUAGAAGUGAGAAUGCCGGUAUGAGUAGCGAAAGACAGGUGAGAAUCCUGUCCACCGUAAGACUAAGGUUUCCAGGGGAAGGCUCGUCCGCCCUGGGUUAGUCGGGACCUAAGGAGAGACCGAAAGGUGUAUCCGAUGGACAACAGGUUGAUAUUCCUGUACUAGAGUAUGUAGUGAUGGAGGGACGCAGUAGGCUAACUAAAGCAGACGAUUGGAAGAGUCUGUCUAAGCAGUGAGGUGUGAUAUGAGUCAAAUGCUUAUAUCUGUAACAUUGAGCUGUGAUGGGGAGCGAAGUUUAGUAGCGAAGUUAGUGACGUCACACUGCCAAGAAAAGCUUCUAGCGUUUAAACAUACUCUACCCGUACCGCAAACCGACACAGGUAGUCGAGGCGAGUAGCCUCAGGUGAGCGAGAGAACUCUCGUUAAGGAACUCGGCAAAAUGACCCCGUAACUUCGGGAGAAGGGGUGCUGACUUUAAGUCAGCCGCAGUGAAUAGGCCCAAGCAACUGUUUAUCAAAAACACAGCUCUCUGCUAAAUCGUAAGAUGAUGUAUAGGGGGUGACGCCUGCCCGGUGCUGGAAGGUUAAGAGGAGUGCUUAGCGUAAGCGAAGGUAUGAAUUGAAGCCCCAGUAAACGGCGGCCGUAACUAUAACGGUCCUAAGGUAGCGAAAUUCCUUGUCGGGUAAGUUCCGACCCGCACGAAAGGCGUAAUGAUUUGGGCACUGUCUCAACGAGAGACUCGGUGAAAUUUUAGUACCUGUGAAGAUGCAGGUUACCCGCGACAGGACGGAAAGACCCCAUGGAGCUUUACUGCAGUUUGAUAUUGAGUGUCUGUACCACAUGUACAGGAUAGGUAGGAGUCUAAGAGAUCGGGACGCCAGUUUCGAAGGAGACGCUGUUGGGAUACUACCCUUGUGUUAUGGCCACUCUAACCCAGAUAGGUGAUCCCUAUCGGAGACAGUGUCUGACGGGCAGUUUGACUGGGGCGGUCGCCUCCUAAAAGGUAACGGAGGCGCCCAAAGGUUCCCUCAGAAUGGUUGGAAAUCAUUCGCAGAGUGUAAAGGUAUAAGGGAGCUUGACUGCGAGAGCUACAACUCGAGCAGGGACGAAAGUCGGGCUUAGUGAUCCGGUGGUUCCGUAUGGAAGGGCCAUCGCUCAACGGAUAAAAGCUACCCUGGGGAUAACAGGCUUAUCUCCCCCAAGAGUUCACAUCGACGGGGAGGUUUGGCACCUCGAUGUCGGCUCGUCGCAUCCUGGGGCUGUAGUCGGUCCCAAGGGUUGGGCUGUUCGCCCAUUAAAGCGGCACGCGAGCUGGGUUCAGAACGUCGUGAGACAGUUCGGUCCCUAUCCGUCGCGGGCGUAGGAAAUUUGAGAGGAUCUGCUCCUAGUACGAGAGGACCAGAGUGGACUUACCGCUGGUGUACCAGUUGUCUUGCCAAAGGCAUCGCUGGGUAGCUAUGUAGGGAAGGGAUAAACGCUGAAAGCAUCUAAGUGUGAAACCCACCUCAAGAUGAGAUUUCCCAUGAUUAUAUAUCAGUAAGAGCCCUGAGAGAUGAUCAGGUAGAUAGGUUAGAAGUGGAAGUGUGGCGACACAUGUAGCGGACUAAUACUAAUAGCUCGAGGACUUAUCCAA